UGAGGAGGCCAGUCGGCCGCCGGCCCCCCUUCGCCUAGGCGACGGGGGGCGGGAGGAAAGUCCGGGCUCCGCAGGGCAGGGUGCCGGGUAAUUCCCGGUGGGGGCGACCCCGAGGACAGCGCCACAGAAAAGAUACCGCCCUCCGAAGCGAUGGCGAGAGCCAUCGCGAAGGAGGGUAAGGGUGAAAUGGCGAGGUAAGAGCUCACCGCGUGCCGGGCGACCGGCACGGCAAUGCAAGCCCCACCCGGAGCAAGACCGAAUAGGAGGGCGAUCCCGGCGGUGAAAACCGCCGGGGGAAGGGCGGCCCGCCCGAAGCCCUCGGGUCAAGGUCGCUGGAGGCGCGCGGAGACGCGCGCCGUAGAGAAAUGGUCGGCCGCGGCGGUUUACGCCGCGCACAGAACCCGGCUUACGGCCUCCUCAGCCU
rnacentral:RNase_P_RNA from 2 species